GGACAUAUUUAACUAAUAGAGUAGGGAGGAUUUGGACAGUGCCAAUCCCUUGAGACUGUGUUUGGGAACCAUUGGCUGAGACUAUCCUAGGUAAAUAACCAGAUGUUGUGAGAGAGGAGAAAAGAGUCUUAUUACCAGUAAUGUGAUCAGAUGCCCCAGAAUCGAGAAUCCAUGGGCUAUGAGAAGGUGAGAUGCAAACAGGUGAAUUACCACUUUGUGCGGUGGAAACAGCGGAACUCGAGUUCUGACAAUACUCUCUCCACCGAAGAAAAUCUUUAUAAGUAGCCGUAAUCAAUAAGUAGUUACUUAAAAACCAGCAGCGAAACAGUGGCGGAAUAUGUUUUUUUUUUCUUUUUCUUUUUUCCGAUGAACAGUACCGCACAAUGAAUAGUGCGUGCGAUGAACAGUUGACUGAUUUGCUGGAAAAAAAAAUGAACGAAAAGCGACAAAGUAAGGGUAAACCGGAAUUGAGACACGGUUUACUGGAAAAAAAAAAUCUCACCGAAGGACAGUGGGUCCCGGGGUAAUCACGGUAUAGGGUUGUCUCUCUUAAUAGGCUCUAGAUACCAUGUUGAAUAAGAGAAAAUGAGAGACAUAUGGUGAAACCGUGUGUCUAAACUACACAACGGAGUCUGUUUUAUAUAGACUCAAGGCAAUAAAUACAAAAAUAAAUAUGGGAGAUAUUAUCCCUAUUUACAUGAUAUGUAAUAAAUAUAAAUAUAUUUUCAACAGUUUGUUUGAUGUUGUCAUCAUGCUUCUUUGUGUAAACAAUUGGGGAUUGUUUCAGGAUUAGAAAUAUACAAAGUGCACAAACAAUUCUGCUUGGUGGAUUUUGUCUUCAUGCCCAGUUGGGAUUUGUUUCAAGAUACAUGCAAACCUUGCAUUCUGGAUUACUUGUGCCUACAAAAUUUGCUCCUCAAGGUGGAAGAACUGAAUGGGUAGUUUUAUUCAUGUUCCUAUACGUUUCUUUAUGAAGUUCUGAGAUGUAUUUGUAGUUUUAUUAGAUAUCGAAGUUUCUUUCUAGAUUAUUAUGUACGUUCAGCAUUUGGAGGAUUCAACUUGGUGAGAGUUGCUAUGAUAAUCAAGAUAUUGGGUCUUGUGAUUUCGAUGGACCUGCUAUGAUCACCACCACUGAGCCUAAGAGACAAAUGUGUUGAAGCGUGUUGCAGCAAGCUGGAGUUUUGAUAUGUGUUUUCUGAAAGGCUAAAACUACUUGUGUUCAAGGGUAGAGAGUUUAAGAUGUGGUUUUGGAUGAAUAGUAGUGUAUCAUAAUAGACAGUUAACACGACCGGGGCGAGUUGCUAUGGGCAGAACAUUGUUAUGAAUCAUGCUUCUUCUACAUUUGAUGGCUAUUAUCACGACCAAGGGACUUGGGUCUUGUAAUUUCAAGGCAGUUAACACGAUCAUCACCACUGAGUCUACAAGCUGGAGUUUUGAUGUGUUAUCUAGAAGGCUAGAAAUUACUUAUGCUCAAGUGUGUUUUAAGAUUCUUGGUUUGGAAGGCUAAGAACGGCAAAUGGUUUUGGAUUAAUCUAAUUUGUUAUGUAUUACCUUUAUUUUUCUGUCUAUGGUUUUAACACCAUUCAGCAGCGUAGUGUAUUAUAAUAGUAACAUCCUUCAUAGUGUUCAGCCUUGAUUUGUUGCUCUCAACUGUAUUUCAUGAAUUCUUUUUAUAUCAAUAUCUCUUUGUUGAUUCUAA